CAAUAGCGUAUAUUAAAGUUGUUGCGGUUAAAAGCUCGUAGUUGGAUUUCUGUUGAGGACAGCCGGUCCGCACUACGUGCGUGUAUCUGGUUUGGCCUUGGCAUCCUCCGAGAUAACGUGAUUGCGCUUCAUUGCGUGAUCCGGGGUUUCGGACUUUUACUUUGAGGAAAUUAGAGUGUUCACGGCAGGCAUACGCCUUGAAUAUAUUAGCAUGGAAUAAUAAUAUAGGAUCUUGGUUCUAUUUUGUUGGUUUCUAGGGCUAGGAUAAUGAUUAAUAGGGACAAUUGGGGGGCAUUCGUAUUAACGCGUCAGAGGUGGAAUUCUUGGAUUGCGUUACGACGAACUACUGCGAAAGCAUUUGCCAAGGAUGUUUUCAUUGAUCAAGAACGAAAGUAAGGGGAUCGAAGACGAUCAGAU
rnacentral:rRNA from 1 species